UACGUAGGGGGCUAGCGUUGUCCGGAAUCAUUGGGCGUAAAGAGCUCGUAGGCGGUCUGUCGCGUCUGCUGUGAAAACUCGGGGCUUAACCCCGGGCCUGCAGUGGGUACGGGCAGACUAGAGUGCGGUAGGGGAGACUGGAAUUCCUGGUGUAGCGGUGAAAUGCGCAGAUAUCAGGAGGAACACCGGUGGCGAAGGCGGGUCUCUGGGCCGUAACUGACGCUGAGGAGCGAAAGCAUGGGGAGCGAACAGG
rnacentral:rRNA from 1 species